AACGCACAUUGCGCCCCUUGGUAUUCCGGGGGGCACGCCUGUUCAAGCGUCAUUAACACCACUCAAGCACUGCUUGGUACUGGGACACGCCAGCGAUGGCCGUCCCCAAUUCCAGUGGUGGCGCCGCUGAAUCCCAAGCGUAGUACAUACCCUCGCUCCGGGAAUCGGCGGUCGACGACCCAGCAAGCCUCUCACAGGUUGACCUCGGAUCAGGUAGGAAUACCCGCUGAACUUAA
rnacentral:misc_RNA from 1 species